rnacentral:rRNA from 1 species
CAUGCCGCGUGUGUGAGAAGGCCUUCGGGUUGUAAAGCACUUUUGUCCGGAAAGAAAACCUCUUGGUUAAUACCUGAGGGGGAUGACGGUACCGGAAGAAUAAGCACCGGCUAACUACGUGCCAGCAGCCGCGGUAAUACGUAGGGUGCGAGCGUUAAUCGGAAUUACUGGGCGUAAAGCGUGCGCAGGCGGUCUGUUAAGACCGAUGUGAAAUCCCCGGGCUUAACCUGGGAACUGCAUUGGUGACUGGCAGGCUUUGAGUGUGGCAGAGGGAGGUAGAAUUCCACGUGUAGCAGUGAAAUGCGUAGAGAUGUGGAGGAAUACCGAUGGCGAAGGCAGCCUCCUGGGCCAACACUGACGCUCAUGCACGAAAGCGUGGGGAGCAAACA